ensembl:lncRNA novel transcript
UGGUAUACAUGGCUGCUGAGAAUGUAUCAAUUAGCUCAGAUACUACUGACUUGACAAGAAACCCUUAUCAUAAGCAGGAUGACAAUGUAUAUUCAAGAAGGUGCUGAGAGAGAAGUUUUUCCAUCAGCCUCAUCUGAAUGAGACAUACUUCCCCAAAGAAAUGCUUAUUUUUCAGCACGUCAACCUCCAUCUUGACAGACGAAGAGGCAAAAACUGGAGUCAUAUUGAGUAGGUCUGAAAUUGUCUACUGUGCUAAGAUCAUGUUCAGUUUGUCAUCUACUUUCCUCAAGAAGAAUCGCCAGCCAUGGAGAAAUAGGAAGAUAGAGAUCAGGGGAAGUUGAGAUUCAGAAGCUCUAAGCAAAGGCAAUGGGUAAGAUCUAGUCCCUUGCCUCUAGAGCAAAUGUCAGGGUGGCCCUCGGAGGCUGAGCCAGUCGCAAAUGUAUGGUCAAGUACCCAAAGGGCUGAAAGGCAAAAAGGAGACCAGUGGCCUCUUCAAAUGGUGCUGAGGAAAAUAUGCACAAGAGCUUGUGCUGACAAUGUCGCAUAGGCUUCAGAGACUACAAGGGAGAAAAGCAGGUUGCACACUGGGAAGAAGGUUCUGGAAGCAGCUCUUGUCCCGGGCAAUAGUGUUGGCAUGGGGAUGCUCUCCUAGAAUGAUCUGGUACAAUCCAGAGUAUGGGUAAAACUUUGCACUGGUGACUAGGAAGGCAACAACGUUCUGGAUAGCUCAUAGGAAAACACCCGCCCUUCUUACUCUAGGGUGAAAAGCCACUGCCCCAGCCUGGACCGCUACCCAGCCUUUUGAACAAUGCCUACCUCAAUCCUUCCAGUUCUUGUCAUCUCCAGUAAUCAAAAAAGAAGGCUUUGGCCAAGCCACCUUCCACCCCAGGUUGUCCAUUGACUGCCCUGGUCAUGAGUGUUAUGGGUACCAUGGGCUACCAGGACCAAGAGUGUUCCAAGUCGCUUCUGUUAUCUUCUGCUUAGGUCAAGCAAAGGAACUCCUGUGAGUAAUUCAUAAAGUACUUAUACUCGAA